GUAUGCUGCGUGGAAGAGUGAAAGAGAAAGCAUGCUUUGUAUUUUCAUCGAUGUUUCGCAAAGCAUGCUAUCUCUUUCAUUCAUGCUUGCGAAUUUUUCGGAAGUUCUGUCAAAUGAAAACUCUUCGCUUUGUUUGCGUCUUUGAUCGUGGAAAAAGCUAAGCCACAUUUUUCCGGUACGAUUUUGAUUUUUUAAUAAGUUGAAUCUGGCACAAAAAGAACUCCGUGGUCAGGAACAAUGGCGUGCAACAGCAACGGUUUCAGCGGAAGAAGCAGAAGGGCAGCAGCGAAAUCACGCUGGACACCGAUUCUGGUGUAGAGGACGACGACUUCAGCUUCGUUACGUCCCCUGCCAGAACCAACACAACAUCAAUUUUGGAACCAGUGGCCAGCGGUGACGGAGUGGUCUGUGGUGCUGUGAAACCAUCGGGAACGACGACAGGAAUGGCUAAAUACCGGGAGAAGCUACCGAUGCCACCAGAGAAACAAAUUUCAUCUCGUCUUAAUAGCCUUGGCCAGUGGAGACGGAAAGUGGUCCGGUUCGGUCGCGGAAAGUGGUUCAAUUCCGCUCUGUAUGAGCAAUAGCGAUGAGCUUAGCGAAAACCCCUUCAAUCGGAUCAAGAGCCAACAGAUCCGGCGUCCCUAAAACCAACGGAACCGAUCCUGCAGUGUAUCAUCAAAGCGGCCAUGAACGAGGAGAUUUAGAAAGCGUCAAGCUGGGUGGUUCCGAUGAACGCCGCACCGUCGUUCCUUGUAGGUUUCUUUCUUAACGCGAUAGACAGCUCCGUCCCACCCUAACAGUGAAAUUCCGGAUGAGUACAACAAACAUUGGCGGGACAUGGUUGGCGUCGAAGGUCAAAACCGGCCGCAGGAGGAUGGCCAACAGUGACAUGUCCGGAGAAUUAUGCAAUAGAAUUUAGGAAAGAUCUUGGUAUGCCCAUCAACUUCCAAGAGCUGAUCCAGUUGCCCUGGACAAAAGAAAUUGGCCCAUCAUUCAGCACUUCUAAGCUGUAUCGGACCUCCUUGGAGUUGCAUCGUGUCAAGAACACGUGCGCGUGGAAGGCUUUAGUCUGCCAAAAGGGGCCGGCACUAGACAAAUAGCUCGUCGACGGAACUGACCUCGCAGUUCAACAACAAAGCGGACCAGAAGCUGAGCAUCGUUGACACGUGUCGCACCGUUGACCGAGGAGAAAAUGGAAGCUGUCCUGCUGGUUGGUUACGGCGAAGUUACGCCCGGAUGAUUCCGGCCGCCACAGACUUAAUUCCGGCCCAACGUGAGUGAGGAUAGCCGGGCACGUAGGACACGUGCAAUACAUCGGUGCUAGAAGCGGAUAUAUCCAACCUGGGUGUACGCAAUCAUCUUUUUAAGAACUCAAGAGAUUCGCCGACGGAUUAGAACAGCUCGAUUAGGAUCCCGCGAUGGCCGUUUCCUGUGUCGCCCGAGAACCUGCUGACCAAACUGGCACGCGGGACUAUCAUGGCUUACAAACUCCCUCAGAACGUCGCUGCACGGAUCAGGCACGGAAAAACGCUGAUUGGAACAGGUUCUGUUGACGGUUUCUGCUCUACAAGUGUCCUCAGAGCAAUGAGUGAGAUGCUCUACGAACGCGUCCAGGUUCGGUUGACGAAGACCGAUCCAUGUACUUGUCCAUAACAAGCGGUCCAACGUGGAUCCUCAACCAAACUUCAAAACCACUUCAAUGGAAAUGACGGCGGAACCGACCUCCCGGGGCGUCACCAACAUGGUUCAGCUGCUGAGUUCGAUCCGGAAAAGGCCGUGCUGUGUGCCACCUCUUUGGCCGAGGAGAAUGUGAAAGUUAGUCUUGCCAAUAGCGCGGCGUCGUGUCUCGCAGAAUACUUUCGUUUCGACCCAGACGAAACCGGCUGCCAUCCCGCGCAUAAAUCGCCGUUACAGAGUAGCUUAUGAUAAUGGUUCCGUUAGCAAUCAUCACAUCAACUGAAUUCCGACUUAACGUGAGUGAGGUACCGCCGCAAGGACACCGGAAGUUGAUCCGGCUGACGUGGACAUUCGCAAGCAGCACGAUCGUUCCAUGCUGCUGAUUCCGGUGGCAUCCCACGAAUGCAGCAAAUCCGUCGAGAUAACUUCAAACAAGCAGGCUGUGGCCAAUAUGAGCUAGUUAGUGUUCGGUGAUGAACGGGCUAAACAGCAACCAAGCGGCCCCGGGCCACGGGCAAGCUUCGUUACCGCCGCAGUUCCGUGCGCAGAUACAGAUGUAUUGUGGUAGCGGAGGAGCAGGUGGAUGUUCUGGAUCGCCAUCGCCUCCGUCGGACGGUCCACCUUCGUUGGGACCGAUGGACAACCGGGACAAUAGUGGAAUGCAAAAUAACAAUGUUGGCGGAGGCGGAUACAAUAAAAUACUGAACUUCGUCUCGGGCGGUACAAAUCAUCAGAACCUCGGCGGAAGCGUAAGUCAGGAGCAGCAGCAGGGGGCAAGUGUCGACCAGCGGGAAAGCAGCAGCGUUGAGGAAUAGAUCGUACCAUGAUUAUCAUGCGUCGUAUUGACUCCGAUGAGGAGGAUCGCUUCAGCAGCGGUGCCCGAAGUCGUCCAGCAAGAUGAGCGGCGGCGGUGGCCGUACAACAGUACAACGCAGUUCAAUCAAGGCCCUUUGAGUGAUGACAACUGCCAUGGCCAGCACAAUCAGCAGCUGCAACAUAUCUUUGGAGAGUGAAGCGGAAAAGUAGGAUCAUCGUCUGGCGGAGGCAGUCGCUGCGUUGGGCAAAAAAAACCAGUACCACCAGCAACACGAUUCGCGAGCUGUGGAAUCGAAGCUGAAGUCGGACAGCUGUACCACUUGGAGAUGGUCCAGGAGAAGCCGGUGGUAGCGGAAUCAAUGCUGCGAGAGCUUAGGUCAAAUAAUGUUGCGCCACCCCCAAAAAGUGGGAGGACAUGGAUCGACCAGGACGUAGGACCAGAGAUGCCAAAAAAAAGUCACGCGCUGGAUUUUCUAGACAAAUGGCAUGACGGCGGAUUCGACCUCGCUUGCCGUCAACAGACGGUCUUCAAACUGAGGAACCUUACCAUCGUCAACCCAACGGAGGCACUCACCGAGAAGGACGGAAGCGGUACGCGUAUGUAAGAGAUCAAAAAGAUGGACGACGAAUACUUAUGCUUCGUUACGGAACGUGCUAACCCCAAAGUCUGCACCAUCUCCUCCGUGGUCCAUCCAAGGAAAUUCUCCCUACUACGAUCGGAAUAGAACAACUUGCUGAGGGUCCAGUUUCGGACUUCCAACUUCAGUCAGUUGCAACUCGGUGCCUCGCAACUGGACCAUCUUGGAGCGCGUAUCCGAUGGCGUUAACCUAGGUAAACCAGACAUCCUUCAAAUGUUCCAAACUAACCUUCUCAAGCUCAAAAACCCUGCUUCCGGAUGAGGAGGUGGCAUUCGCGACGAUGAGUACAAACCAACCAUGGAGUACAAUCCCCCGAGCAUCAAUAAAAACAUCACCAUUUCGUAUAUCACGUCCCAACCUCACUCAAUACCCUAUCGAAUCAAGCGGGCAACCGCCCAGGACGGCCCAGCUCUAAAAAGGUUCACCGGACGGUCGCCAAAGUGGAAGUGCCCUAGAAACGAUGCUGGAAGUAAAAGACCCACAGGUUGCCAACCUGUAAGUUCUCGGAACAAGGCUGCACGGAACAGGCUCGCCGAAUGGUCACCGCCCAGCAAGCGCCCUCGAAAGGACGGAUCAAAAGCUGCACGGACGCGCGUUCAAGCAAUCCGGAAUUGCCAUGCGGAACGGCAAUGGAUCUCGAGGUUCCCUUGGAAAGAGGCAGCACGGAACAUGUUCGACUGACGGUCGCCAAUCUGGAAGUGCCCUUGGAACGACGCUGGAAGGAACAGGCUCGAAGGCGUCUGGCCGCGGUAGAUUCAAGCCACCGGAUCAUGGUGGAUUAUUUUCCUGUAAAAUCUUCUGCGCACUCAGAUGCUUUCUCGCCGUAAUCGGAUGGUAACUUCCGCCCUUUACCGUGGCAUCGUUCGCCACGAUCACACAAUCCACGCCCAGCACCCAGACCCACCACCGUAACAAUCCUUGCCGUAUAUUCCAUGUGCGGCCAACGUGCCCAGUUCCAUAAACGGCUCCACCAACCAAAACUUCCCUUACUCGUGUGCCGCUUGAUCGCUUCCGGUCCGCCUCCGUUCAAAAUCUUCCCGGUAACUGAGGAACCAGAGGCCAGAACUGCAAGCACGACUAUCUGGAGGAACCAACCGGCACGGCCUGGCUGGUGGAAAUCCCGAACCAAGCGGAUGCCCUGAUGAGGAAAAAACGAUGGACGCCAAAAUUGUUAUGUUCUUUGAAGCUAUUUUUUAAGAAAAUCAAUGUAAACCAGGAAAAAACUGAAUAAAAACAUAAACACCAGCAAAAUAUUUCAAUCAAAACAACAAACAAGAUGACAGAUGCGAGAAAAAGAAGAAAAAGAAAAUAAAAAACGGGGUUGACGCGCGUCCGAUUUUUCACCACGACGUCGUUCUUACAUCGGCCCCGCACGUAGGCCUCUUGCGAUGUUCGAACAACCUUGACAGGUUGACGUUUCGGGUGCAAAAUACCUUGAUUCGGGUCUGAU